rnacentral:rRNA from 1 species
UACGUAGGGUCCGAGCGUUGUCCGGAGUUACUGGGCGUAAAGCGCGCGCAGGCGGCUUCAUAAGUCUGGCGUGAAAGCCCCCGGCUCAACCGGGGAGGGUCGUCGGAGACUGUGGAGCUUGAGGGCGGUAGGGGCUGGUGGAAUUCCCGGUGUAGUGGUGAAAUUCGUAGAUAUCGGGAGGAACACCGGUGGCGAAGGCGGCGACCUGGGUAGAUACUGACGCUGAGGUGCGAAAGCGUGGGGAGCAAACAGG